rfam:Arabidopsis thaliana chromosome 3, complete sequence.
GGAUGCGAUCAUACCCGCAUUAAUGCACCGGAUCCAAUCAGAACUCUACAGUUAAGCGUGCUUGGGUGAGAGUAGUACUAGGAUGGGUGACCUCUCGGAAAGUCCUCGUGUUGCAUCCC